rnacentral:pre_miRNA from 1 species
CUAGUACUCCCUCCGUCCGAAAAUACUUGUUAUCAAAAUGGACAAAAAAAAUGUAUCUAGAACUAAAAUACGUCUAGAUACAUCCUCUUUUAUUUAUUUUGAUGACAAGUAUUUCCGGACGGAGGGAGUAGCAC